rnacentral:rRNA from 1 species
AUUGAACGCUGGCGGAAUGCUUUACACAUGCAAGUCGAGCGGCAGCGCGGGGCAACCUGGCGGCGAGCGGCGAACGGGUGAGUAAUACAUCGGAACGUGCCCAGACGUGGGGGAUAGCCCGGCGAAAGCCGGAUUAAUACCGCAUACGAUCUACGGAUGAAAGCGGGGGAUCGCAAGACCUCGCGCGUCUGGAGCGGCCGAUGGCAGAUUAGGUAGUUGGUGGGGUAAAGGCUUACCAAGCCUACGAUCUGUAGCUGGUCUGAGAGGACGACCAGCCACACUGGGACUGAGACACGGCCCAGACUCCUACGGGAGGCAGCAGUGGGGAAUUUUGGACAAUGGGCGCAAGCCUGAUCCAGCCAUUCCGCGUGCAGGAUGAAGGCCCUCGGGUUGUAAACUGCUUUUGUACGGAACGAAAAGGCUCUCUCUAAUACAGGGGGCUCAUGACGGUACCGUAAGAAUAAGCACCGGCUAACUACGUGCCAGCAGCCGCGGU